AACGAACGCUGGCGGCAGGCUUAACACAUGCAAGUCGAGCGCCCCGCAAGGUGAGCGGCAGACGGGUGAGUAACGCGGGGGAAUCUACCCAUCUCUACGGACUAGAGCUUGGAAACGUGUGCUAAUACCGUAUCCGUCCUUCGGGAGAAAGAUUUAUCGGAGAUGGAUGAGCCCGCGUUGGAUUAGCUAGUUGGUGGGGUAAAGGCCUACCAAGGCGACGAUCCAUAGCUGGUCUGAGAGGAUGAUCAGCCACACUGGGACUGAGACACGGCCCAGACUCCUACGGGAGGCAGCAGUGGGGAAUAUUGGACAAUGGGCGCAAGCCUGAUCCAGCCAUGCCGCGUGAGUGAUGAAGGCCCUAGGGUUGUAAAGCUCUUUCACCGGUGAAGAUAAUGACGGUAACCGGAGAAGAAGCCCCGGCUAACUUCGUGCCAGCAGCCGCAGUAAAAC
rnacentral:rRNA from 1 species